CUCUCCGACUUGCUACCUCAGCCCAAGCCGGUCUUCUAAGUGUUAAAGGGAAGGCUUGCGGGAGGGCGGAUUCCUAGAGAGGCAGGAAAAAACGGCGAGGAGCCGGAAGUGGAGGUGCGUCCUCUAGAGGCCGCCCACCUCCCCCGGCCUGCCCUAUUCGAAGGUUCCUGGGAGAGGUCGGUCGGAGCUUCGGGUCCGGUGGGGGGAAAGAAAGAGGGGUUGCAACGAGGGCGUCCCUAUUUCCUCCUUCCCCCCCUCAUGGGGCGGCCUGGAUAAAGAAGGGGGCUUUUGACCCACCUCUGCGGCCGAGCCUUGCUUUGGUGGAGGGAGGGAAGGGAAGCGCCUUUGUUUUUCCUACCCAGGAGAAGAUCAGGAUCUCUCCAGAGAAGGAAGUUACUGAAAGGAGCCUUCCUUGGGCGCGAGACAGAGCCUGCAGUCCAGGUGGAGCAUGCAGGAGGGUGACGGAGGCAACACCUCUCUAGGAGGUGGACCCAGGAUGCUGCCAGGACAUCCCAGCUCGUCUGUUUCACACAAUGGAAACAAAGCAGCUUCUGGGCAACUGGACCAGGUAUGAAAGGGACUGUUAGGGGGAAAAGAAAAGGUUAGCCAAGAAAUUAUUUUCAGCACAACUACCCUGUUCUGAAGGGAUCAGUCAUCAUCUAUCACAUGGGUUUUCUGCUAAGAAGGCAAAAAAUGCCAGUUGUGAAGGUCCAAAUAUUCUCUUAAAUCCUCCACCUCUUCCACGUAGUAUUUUUCUUUAGUUGCGACAAACCUGGGAGCUGAAAAUGUAUUCUUUCAGGUGACCUUUGAAGAGGUGGCUGUGUCUUUCACGGAGGAAGAAUGGGCUCUGCUGGAUCCAGACCAAAGGGCCUUGUACAAGGAAGUCAUGGAGGAGGUCUACGGGCUGGUAGC
rnacentral:lncRNA from 1 species